rnacentral:rRNA from 1 species
UACGUAGGUGGCAAGCGUUGUCCGGAAUUAUUGGGCGUAAAGCGCGCGCAGGUGGUUCUUUAAGUCUGAUGUGAAAUCUCGCGGCUCAACCGCGAGCGGUCAUUGGAAACUGGGGAACUUGAGUGCAGAAGAGGAAAGUGGAACUCCACGUGUAGCGGUGAAAUGCGUAGAGAUGUGGAGGAACACCAGUGGCGAAGGCGACUUUCUGGUCUGUAACUGACACUGAGGCGCGAAAGCGUGGGGAGCGAACAGG